UUUAAACGGAGGGGGAAUCGAGCCACUCGCUUCCCUCUAUAAGCGCGCGCUUCCCUCAGUUUCAGCUCCGUCCGGAGGCCAAAGACGGAGAGGGAUGCGACGACUCCGCUGGGGUUUCGUCUCGAUCCGAACUCGGGUCCAUUCUCUCUUGUCGGAUUGUGCUAAAAAGUUGGGGUGAUGACUACAAUGGGCCCAGUCAAGAUUAGCUGCUGCAAUCUCACACUUGCUCCAUUUUGGCUGGUGGGGUUCAUCUGACUCGACGCACUGGGAUCGCAUCUGUUCCAAUACCCUUUGGACACUGAAGGUGGUGGGUUCACUGGAUAAUUUGGAGCAGCUACUGAAGAAUCUGAUUCUGUCAAAGGAUAGCUGGGGUCACUAAUAUUUGAUCUGAGAUGUGUCCCUCUGAGGUCCACUUACCUAAUUAUUCCACGAACCUUUGAUAGGUGUGCAAACCCAUUGGAGCAUCGCUUAGCUUGAGGCCUGAUGAUUGAGGUCACAAUGCGACGGCAUAGAUUUGCCCUCUCAUCAGAGUGCAUGCAUCACUUAGUGGGAGAGUUCGAACGAUCUGGG